AACGUAGGAGACAAACGUUAUCCGGAGUUACUGGGCGUAAAGGGCGUGUAGGUGGUUUCGUAAGUCUGGCGUGAAAUUUCUCGGCUUAACCGAGGCAGGUCGUCGGAUACUGCGGAACUUGAGGACGGUAGAGGCGUGUGGAAUUCCGGGUGUAGUGGUGAAAUGCGUAGAGAUCCGGAGGAACACCAGUGGCGAAGGCGACACGCUGGGCCGUACCUGACACUGAUGCGCGACAGCAUGGGGAGCAACAG
rnacentral:rRNA from 1 species